rnacentral:ncRNA from 2 species
AUGAUUAACUAGGGGUGUCCAUUAGCUGGGCUGAGAGAGAAACGCGCUUGAAGUUUCUUAACCCUUUGGACCUGAUCUGGUUCAUACCAGCGUGGGGAAAGUUAGUUCAGUUAAGA